AGCAGCCGCGGUAAUUCCAGCUCCAAUAGCGUAUAUUAAAGUUGUUGCAGUUAAAAAGCUCGUAGUUGAAUUUCGGGGUUAGUAGGUCGGUCAUGCCACUGGUAUGUACUGGUCUCACUGAUUCCUCCUUCCUGAUGAACCGUAAUGCCAUUAAUUUGGUGUUGCGGGGAGACUGAACUGUUACUUUGAAAAAAUUGAGUGUUUAAAGCAGGCUAACGCUUGAAUACAUUAGCAUGGAAUAAUGAAAUAGGACGUUCGAUCCUAUUUUGUUGGUUUCUAGGAUUGACGUAAUGAUUAAUAGGGAUAGUUGGGGGCAUUAGUAUUCAAUUGUCAGAGGUGAAAUUCUUGGAUUUAUUGAAGACUAACUACUGCGAAAGCAUUUGCCAGGAUGUUUCAUUAAUCAAGAACGAAGUUAGGGAUCGAAGACGAUCAGAUACGUCGUAGUCUUAACCAUAAACUAUAGCCGACUAGGGAUCGGAUCGGAUGUUUAAUUUUUAGUGUACUUCAUUCCGGCGUCCUU
rnacentral:rRNA from 1 species